rnacentral:lncRNA from 1 species
UAACGAAUGUCAGGGAUCCAAUGGGACUGGGCUGGGGCUGGAGCUGGAUGCAGGGAGGUUCCGUCAGGACUACCUGGACAUUGGAGGAUUGGGGGUGGAUUGAACUUUGCAGAAACCUCUUUACUCCUCCAGCAGGCUUUUCAAAAUGUGGCUUGGACUCAUGCAAUAAGAAAUUUAGGGGUUGAAAGGGCCCCUUUUUCAUUGGCACUCUGGGUAACAUCGCUUCAGCACAAUCGUAUGGUAGAGAAGCCUUAUCAAAUUUGCUGUCCUUCAGGGCUCUUAAAGAUGCUUGAUAAAUGAUUAGGGAAAUAAGAACAAAAUUGAAAGGAAAAGGAAGUCCAAGGACCUGCCCCAGAAGAAUCAUAGAUAUGUUUGAAUACUUAUUCAUUAUUUGCCCCAGAUAGAAAAUGUUUUUUAAUCAAAAGGCAAAAGUUAUAAUGAGGAAGAUAAUAUUACCUGGGGCAAUGUUGAGACAAAUAAGGUGAAGAUCAACCAAACGCCCUGAGUCCUUUGUCCUUUGACCCUGCUGGGGACCCAAAUCCUUUUGAUAUAGCAUCUUUCUACCUGAGGAAUGCAAGGAGAAUAAUACUCAUCAGCAAAGAGCCUCUGUUUUCCCAUAGGACUGACUCUAACUAUGUGAAGAACUGCUACAUAUUCUACAGUGCUUGAUAGGCGGUUCCCAUCUGACAGGAGCUGUUUGGCUUGUGGAUAGCAGUUCCAAGAUUAACAAAUGACAUCAUGUUUGAAAGCCACUGCUCUUAUUAAAGAAGAGUCAAGCAAA